AGUCUGACGGAGCAACGCCGCGUGAGUGAUGAAGGUUUUCGGAUCGUAAAACUCUGUUGUUAGGGAAGAACAAGUACGAGAGUAACUGCUCGUACCUUGACGGUACCUAACCAGAAAGCCACGGCUAACUACGUGCCAGCAGCCGCGGUAAUACGUAGGUGGCAAGCGUUGUCCGGAAUUAUUGGGCGUAAAGCGCGCGCAGGCGGUCCUUUAAGUCUGAUGUGAAAGCCCACGGCUCAACCGUGGAGGGUCAUUGGAAACUGGGGGACUUGAGUGCAGAAGAGAAGAGUGGAAUUCCACGUGUAGCGGUGAAAUGCGUAGAGAUGUGGAGGAACACCAGUGGCGAAGGCGACUCUUUGGUCUGUAACUGACGCUGAGGCGCGAAAGCGUGGGGAGCAAACAGGAUUAGAUACCCUGGUAGUCCACGCCGUAAACGAUGAGUGCUAAGUGUUAGAGGGUUUCCGCCCUUUAGUGCUGCAGCAAACGCAUUAAGCACUCCGCCUGGGGAGUACGGC
rnacentral:rRNA from 2 species